rnacentral:rRNA from 1 species
GAUGAACGCUGGCGGCGUGCCUAAUACAUGCAAGUCGAGCGAACGGACGAGAAGCUUGCUUUUCUGAUGUUAGCGGCGGACGGGUGAGUAACACGUGGAUAACCUACCUAUAAGACUGGGAUAACUUCGGGAAACCGGAGCUAAUACCGGAUAAUAUUUUGAACCGCAUGGUUCAAAAGUGAAAGACGGUCUUGCUGUCACUUAUAGAUGGAUCCGCGCUGCAUUAGCUAGUUGGUAAGGUAACGGCUUACCAAGGCAACGAUGCAUAGCCGACCUGAGAGGGGGAGCGGCAACACUGGAACUGAGACACGGUCCAGACUACUACGGGAGGCAGCAGUAGGGAAUCUUCCGCAAUGGGCGAAAGCCUGACGGAGCAACGCCGCGUGAGUGAUGAAGGUCUUCGGAUCGUAAAACUCUGUUAUUAGGGAAGAACAUAUGUGUAAGUAACUGUGCACAUCUUGACGGUACCUAAUCAGAAAGCCACGGCUAACUACGUG